UUUGAUUCUGGCUCAGAACGAACGCUGGCGGCGUGGAUCAGGCAUGCAAGUCGAACGAUACUUUUGUAUAGUGGCAAAAGGGUGAGUAACGCGUGGAUAACCUGCCUUAAUCUUUGGGAUAACAUUGCGAAAGCGGUGCUAAUACCGGAUGUGAUAUUUAAGUGCUUCUUAGAUAUUAAAGAUGGCCUCUUCUUGAAAGCUGUCGGAUUAAGAUGGGUCUGCGUCCUAUUAGCUUGUUGGUAGGGUAAUGGCCUACCAAGGCAUCGAUGGGUACCCGGGCUGAGAGGCUGGUCGGGCACAUUGGGACUGAGAUACUGCCCAAACUCCUACGGGAGGCUGCAGUCGAGAAUAUUUCGCAAUGGAGGAAACUCUGACGACGCGACGCCGCGUGAGCGAUGAAGGCCUUCGGGUUGUAAAGCUCUGUCACAGGGGAAGAAUUGCAAAGGAACUAAUACCUUCUUUGAUUGACAUAACCCUGAGAGGAAGCCCCGGCUAACUCCGUGCCAGCAGCCGCGGUAAUACGGAGGGGGCAAGCGUUGUUCGGAUUUACUGGGCGUAAAGGGUGCGUAGGCGGAUAAGUAAGUGAAACGUGAAAGCCUAAGGCUCAACUUUAGAACUGCGUUUCAAACUACAUAUCUUGAGUAUGGGAGAGGUAAGUGGAAUUCUCAGUGUAGCGGUGAAAUGCGUAGAUAUUGAGAAGAACACCAGUUGUGAAGACGGCUUACUAACCUAAUACUGACGCUCAAGCACGAAGGCUAGGGGAGCAAACAGGAUUAGAUACCCUGGUAGUCCUAGCAGUAAACGAUGUCAACUUGGUGUGGGGAAUAUCGACAUUCUCUGUGCCGUAGCCAACGCGUUAAGUUGACCGCCUGGGGAGUACGGCCGCAAGGCUAAAACUCAAAGAAAUUGACGGGGGCCCGCACAAGCGGUGGAGCAUGUGGUUCAAUUCGAAGCAACGCGAAGAACCUUACCUGGACUUGACAUGUAUGUGACAGAAUGUGAAAGCAUUUCUCCCUUCGGGGCGCAUAUACAGGUGUUGCAUGGCUGUCGUCAGCUCGUGUCGUGAGAUAUUGGGUUAAGUCCCGCAACGAGCGCAACCCCUGCUUUCAGUUACCAGCGAGUAAUGUCGGGGACUCUGGAGGGACUGCCGGUGAUAAACCGGAGGAAGGUGGGGAUGACGUCAAGUCAUUAUGGCCCUUACGUCCAGGGCUACACACGUGCUACAAUGGUCGGUACAAUUGGAUGCAAUACCGCGAGGUGGAGCUAAUCCUGGAAAACCGGCCCCAGUUCGGAUUGGAGUCUGCAACUCGACUCCAUGAAGUAGGAAUCGCUAGUAAUGGCAGGUCAGCAACACUGCCGUGAAUACGUUCCCGGGCCUUGUACACACCGCCCGUCACAUCACGAAAGUUGAUUUCACCCGAAGUCGCUGUACCAACCUGUCAAAAGGAGGAAAGUGCCG
rnacentral:rRNA from 1 species